UAAAGGAGACCUCAGAUUUGUCACUCUUAUCUGACUCAUGAAACUGAGACCCAGAGAGGUGAAAGGGUGUGCUCGGUCCGGUAGCUGUGUUGCAGACUAUGUGAAUGGCACCUCUUGGUGUCAUGCAAUGCAUAACAACCACCUGUGCAGCCUCAUGGCCCUGCACAACCUCCUGACCACAGCGAUGGAAUAAAGUGGUCCAGUCAGGGGCAUUUUCAGCCUCUGGGGAUGUUGAUAUAGUAACUCCUCCUCUUUUCCCAUACCCUGAAAAAAUGCAGCCCAAGAAGCUGCCGAUGCUCUUACAGCUGUGAGGGGAGGGGCUGCCCGAGGAGAGAGGUAACCUAGAGUUGAGAGAUGGAGGAAGAGAUACAGAAUCUGGAUGGCUAUGCUCUGAUCCUGUAAUCCGACUAUGCCUGAAUGUGGAUCUACCUUCCAAAGCUUCCUAGGGGCUGCUGAUUGGCUACGAAUUACCAGGCACCGCCCAUACGGCUACAGCAUGAACCUCCACAACAAGCCAGUGGAAGCCAAUGGGGAAGGACAUGUGACUUGCCCAAGGUCACCCAGCUGGCAAGGGUGAGAGCUGGGAUUCCAACCCAUUUUGCUGCACUUCGGAGCCCGGUCCCUGUGCACACCACACCACCACCUCCCAAGGAUAACGAGAACAUGACCUAGACUCUAUGUGAAGGCACAUUUUUCAGAGACAGAGUCUCACUGUGUCACCCAGGCUGGAGUGCAGUGGCAUGAUCAUAGCUCACUGCAGCCUUGACCUCCUGGGCUCAAGUGAUUCUCCAACUUCAGCCUCUCAAGUAGCUGGGACCACAGAUGCAUGCCACCACACCUGGCCCAUUUUCUAGAAUGUUAUCUGAAUGGAAUAAUAUAGUACGUAUUCCUUUUAUCUUGCUUCUUUCACUCAGUGUAGUUUUUCUGCAAUUCAUCCAUAUCGUUGAAUGUAUCAAUAGUUCAUUCCUUUUUAAUUUCUGAGAGUAUUUCAUUGAAUGGAAACAUCUCAAUUUGUUUAUCCAUUCACUUGUUGGUGGACAUUUGGGUUGUUUUCAGUUUUUAGCCAUUACUAAUUAAGCUGUUAUGAACAUUAUUGUACAAGUCUUUCUAUGGCCAUAUAUUACCUUGGGUGAAUACAGUAAAUACCUAGGAGUGGAAUGGCUGGGUUAUCAGUGCGUGUAUGUUUAUCAUUUAAGAAACUGCAUAACUGUUUUCAAAGUAGUUGCACCAUUCUGCAUUACUAUCUUCAUUAAUAAAGCAUUUUUUU
rnacentral:lncRNA from 10 species